rnacentral:rRNA from 1 species
AUUGAACGCUGGCGGCAUGCCUUACACAUGCAAGUCGAACGGCAGCACGGGUGCUUGCACCUGGUGGCGAGUGGCGAGCGGGUGAGUAAUACAUCGGAACGUACCUUAUCGUGGGGGAUAACGCAGCGAAAGCUGUGCUAAUACCGCAUACGCCCUGAGGGGGAAAGCGGGGGAUCGAAAGACCUCGCGCGAUUAGAGCGGCCGAUGCCUGAUUAGCUUGUUGGUGGGGUAAAAGCCCACCAAGGCGACGAUCAGUAGCUGGUCUGAGAGGACGAUCAGCCACACUGGGACUGAGACACGGCCCAGACUCCUACGGGAGGCAGCAGUGGGGAAUUUUGGACAAUGGGGGCAACCCUGAUCCAGCAAUGCCGCGUGAGUGAAGAAGGCCUUCGGGUUGUAAAGCUCUUGUGUCAGGGAAGAAACACCGGCUCUAACACAGUCCGGGAAUGACGGUACCUGAAGAAUAAGCACCGGCUAACUACGUGCCAGCAGCCGCAGUAA